rnacentral:rRNA from 1 species
UACGGAGGGGGCUAGCGUUGUCCGGAAUCAUUGGGCGUAAAGGGCGCGUAGGUGGCGGGACAAGCGUGCGGUGAAAGCUCGGGGCUCAACCCCGCGUCGGCCGUGCGAACUGUUUUGCUGGAGCACUGUAGAGGCAGGCGGAAUUCCGGGUGUAGCGGUGGAAUGCGUAGAGAUCCGGAAGAACACCGGUGGCGAAGGCGGCCUGCUGGGCAGUUGCUGACACUGAGGCGCGACAGCGUGGGGAUCAAACAGG